rnacentral:rRNA from 1 species
GACGAACGCUGGCGGCGUGCCUAAUACAUGCAAGUCGAACGAUUUGUCGAACGGGUGAGUAACGCGUGGGUAACUCCCUCCUUGCGGGGGAUAACUAUGGGAAACGAUAGCUAAUACCCCACACUGUGAGAUGGACCUGCGUGGUAUUAGCUAGUUGGUGAGGUAAAGGCCCACCAAGGCGACGACACAUAGCCGGCCUGAGAGGAUGAUCGGCCACAUUGGGACUGAGACACGGCCCAGACUCCUACGGGAGGCAGCAGUAGGGAAUCUUCGGCAAUGGACGGAAGUCUGACGAAGCAACGCCGCGUGAGUGAGGACGGUUUUCGGAUCGUAAAGCUCUGUUGUUCGAGACGCGGUACCUGACUAGAAAGGCACGGCUAACUACGUGCCAGCAGCCGCGGUAAUAC